UACGAAGGGUGCAAGCGUUACUCGGAAUUACUGGGCGUAAAGCGUGCGUAGGUGGUUGUUUAAGUCUGUUGUGAAAGCCCUGGGCUCAACCUGGGAAUUGCAGUGGAUACUGGGCGACUAGAGUGUGGUAGAGGGUAGUGGAACUCCCGGUGUAGCAGUGAAAUGCGUAGAGAUCGGGAGGAACAUCCAUGGCGAAGGCAGCUACCUGGACCAACACCGACACUGAGGCACGAAAGCGUGGGGAGCAAACAGG
rnacentral:rRNA from 1 species